AAAUGAGUAAGUGUGCCCUAGAGAGAACAGCAAGGGUGAGGCUGUACAACUCUUUGCUAAAAAUAUUACGUGUAUGAUUUAUGGAGUCAAUUAAUCAUCUCAGAAAGACUGUCAGCUUGAUCUGAAGGGGACGGAGAUGGGAAAGAAGUGAAUUAAGGCUGUUGGACAUCUGGGAUUCUAAAGAAUUGGUUCCUUCCAGUGGGUUCUUGGUCUUGCUGACUUCUGGAAUGAAGCCGUGGACACUCGCAGUGAGUGUUAUAGUUCUUAAUGAUGGUGUAUCCAGAGUUUGUUCCUUCAGAUGUUCAGAUGUGUCCUGAGUUUCUCCUUUCCAGUGGGUUCAUGGUCUUGCUAACUUCAGGAAUGAAGCUGCAGACCCUCAUGAAUUUCUGGCAAACCAGCACCAGCCUGAAGAUCACUUUCUCAUCAAAGGGUGGAAAAAAUAAAAACUCGAGCCAGCCUGGGAAGGACACUACCUUGUGCUGCUAACCACCAAGACUGUUGUUCGUACAGCAAAAAAAAUAAAAAAUAAAAGGAUGGACUCAUCACACCAGAGUCAAGAAAGCGCCCCCACCUCCAGAGUCGAGUCAUGGGCCAUAGUCCCAGGGGAAAACCCUACCAAACUAA